rnacentral:rRNA from 1 species
AUGGUGCUCGACCUCGCUGCCAGCAGGAGCUCCGGCCCCGACCUCCGCCCGAGUCAGCGUCCUCCACGCCUCCCCAUCUUCAUCUCCGACAGGGAGACGCCGCCAAGCUCCGCCCCGGUCGCCCCCAUCCUGCUGCUUCACCUCGCCCGGCCAUGUGCCACCUCGUCCACAUCGCCCUUGCUCCUCCACGCGCCGGCGACCAGCCACCUGCGCGCCCGACGCCGCCACGCCUCCAAGUUUGCCGUCGCCAUGGCCCGAAGCCGCGCCUCGGUUGCUUCUUGGACCGCAGCCGCCAGCCUCUCCUUCCUCCUGCGAGCACCUUUCUGUCCGUCCAUGCCGUCGUCAUGUCCAUGUUGCAGCCCCGCAUCGACUUCCCCUGCUCAGCAGCAGCUCGUCAUCUCCAGCGCUGCCCUACCCGAGACAAGUACCACCGCCCCGAGUCUUUGCCUUGCUUCGUUUUGGAUUGAAGACCGAGACGAGACCGCCAAGAUGCAUCCUGGUGUCGCCGAAGACACGUGA